rnacentral:rRNA from 1 species
UACGGGGGGGGCAAGCGUUGUUCGGAAUUACUGGGCGUAAAGGGCGCGUAGGCGGGCCGCCAGGUCCGGGGUGAAAGCCUCCAGCUCAACUGGAGAAGUGCCUUGGAUACCGGCGGCCUCGAGGGAGGCAGGGGCGUGCGGAACUUCGGGUGGAGCGGUGAAAUGCGUAGAUAUCCGAAGGAACACCGGUGGCGAAAGCGGCGCGCUGGACCUCUUCUGACGCUGAGGCGCGAAAGCCAGGGGAGCAAACGGG